rnacentral:lncRNA from 1 species
UCAUCAUCAUUGCUUCAAUGUGCUUUUCCACUGAUAAGAAGGAAAGUGGCACUAUUGCUUGUUCUCUAAAUCUUUCCUGAGGCAAGGGUGUCUGAAGAAGCCAGGCUAGGCUCCUGGCUGGAUGAAAUUGGAGGUGAAGAUAAUGUGGCAAGAUACACACACACACACACACACACACACACACAGAAUGAUAUCUUUGUAAGAGUUCUUGCCACCUGUGGUAACACAGUCUGCCCAUCAGGAAGAGGGUACCCAAGGCUGUUGGAGGUUGUCCCUGGGUGGGGUGAAGCGGGGUCCUCAUUUACUGUCGUGUGUUCCUGAAAUUGGGCACUCUGCCCUUCCCCACCCCAGCCCUGCACCCAGAAGGUUUCAUUUGUCCCAGAGUUACCUGACCUGGCCCACAUCUGAAAGGAGCUCAGGCUGGGCCUUCAUGUGGCUAUUGAUUUAGGCACAAGGCUUCCCAAAUCCCAGACUGCAGGAGGCUUUUACCCACCCUGACCCCAUAUACCUGGCUUCAGCUCCAGCCCACAGGCCACCUCUACAAGCACAGGUCAGUUCCGUUUCUUUCCUUCUAAAGUGGAUUUUUCUCCUCUCUCCACCUCUCUGCCUCUGUAGGGCCACAGGUGGAGGCUUUCCCAUUAGAAGAUCUGGGAGCCUUGCCAUUACUGCCGAAGCAUCUGCUGGUUUUCUGUAAAUUGAAAUCUUCUGGCCACUGAAGAUGUGAGGCACGUGGCACAGAGCCUUCUGUGGAAAUGCAGCACCACACUCAAUAACGUGGCCCACGGUCAGCAACAAAUAAGGAAAUGUGUGGCCCUUUCGAAGUGUCAUGCAGAGCCCUGGCCUGCCCUGCGUGCUGCCUGCCCAGAACCCUGCCUCCUUCUGAGUGGCUGGGGCUGCAAAGCUCCUUUGGGGACAAAGAGAACAGACUUGGCACGUUGGCCACUCUGGCCUGCAGACAGCAGUGGGAAGACUCAGCAGAGACCCAGCUACCCCAGAGCCUCAUGGGACUUGGAUGCAGUCUCUUUCCAGGACCACACCAAGGUUUGUCUGACCCUGGAAGCAGAACUCCCCAAGGGAAGCUGGAGGCCAAUGCCAACCCCUCUCUGCCCCACCAUUUUGUUUCCCAAUGACCAUGUCCACCUGGUGAUACAAGCUGGAUCCUUUGCAGUGUGAGAUUGUCUCUUGGAUAAGAAGCAAAAUAGGAAUUGAGUAGUUCCUCCCAACUCUGGCUGCCAGUCAUAUGAAACCUGCCUCCUUAAGCAACAAGUCCAUUCCUUCUGGGGUCACAAAGUGCCAAGCAGGGCUGACAGCAUGGCCUUUGCUCUUCAUCUUCCACUCCCUUUGUCUCUUUCUCAGCUUUUGCCUUCCAGACAUGGCUUUCCUGGCACCUUUCCAAUAGUCUGUCCCCACCAUGCCCAGGGACAACCCCCACCACCCUCAUGCUGUUUUCAAAUAUGAGUUCACUGCUUUCAUUAGCUGCCUCUUCUUUUUCUUCUUCACUGGAAUAAUUUGUAAUUGUAAAGACAAAAUGUCCUUCCUUGGGCAAAACGUUCCUCUAAAAAUUUAUUAGUGUGUUUUUCUCAUUUACAUUUCCUUGUAGGUGAUAUUCUAUCCACAACAUUCCAGAGGCAAUAUUCCCUGAAAUCUUCCAGAAAUAACUAGAAGACUAAUAACUGUUGCAGGAAGAACAUAACAACAAAGAUAGAAUCAGCUUUUGAGACCUAAAAUAGGAUUUGUGUCCACAACCAGAAAAGAGUCUUGAAAGCUAGGCUUUAUCUACAGAUAAAAGAAAAAAGAUUUUUCUUCUACAUUCCAUUGGUUCCUGCAACAGUCAGGUUUAUGUGUCACCUGGGCCAGACUCUAGUCCCUGGUGAUUCCAUCAAACACUGGUCUAGGUGUUGCCGUGGAGGCAUUUUGUAGCUGUGGACUUGAAGUAAAGUAGAGACUCAUCCUUAAUGAUGUGGGUGGGCCUCACACAAUCAACUGAGAGGCCUAACGAGCAAAGACUGAGGUUUCCCAGAGAAGAGGUAAUUCUACCCCAAGACUGCAGGGUCAGCUCCUGCCUGAGUCUUAGGCCUGCUCACCUGCCCUGCAGAUUUCAGACUUGCCAGCCCCACAGUCACAUAAACCAGUUUCUUAAAAUCUGUCUAUGUACCCCUCUAUCUAUAUAUUAAUAUCUAUCUGUCUAAUCUCCAAUUGAUUCUAUUCUUUUCUCUGGGGAACCCUGACUGAUGAGAUAGGACUUAAUGCUUCAGUCUUGAGGCUGAGUUUCCAGCCUGCCUGCCUGCAAAUAUUGAACUUGCCUAGCCAGCAAUCACAUAAGCCACAAUCACAUAAGCCACAUCACCCAAAAUCAGAUAAGCUAUUUCUUGUUUUUAUAUAUAUUUAACACAUAUACACACACAUCUAUGUAGACACAUACACAUGUGUGUAUAUGUGUGUGUAAUAUGUGUGCAUGUGUGUAUAUGUAAUAUAUGUCUCUGUGUGUGUGUGUGUGUGUGUAUGUGUGUGUG